GUGCUUGUCUCAGCUGCACAUACACUAAAAUUGGAACAAUACAGAGGAGAUUAACAUGGCCCCUGCUCAAGGAUGAUAUGCAAAUUCGUGAGCGUUCCAUAUUUUUU
rfam:Erinaceus europaeus unplaced genomic scaffold scaffold00460, whole genome shotgun sequence